rnacentral:rRNA from 1 species
GAGGAACGCUGGCGGCGCGCCUAACACAUGCAAGUCGAACGAGCAAGAGAGAGCUUGCUUUCUCGAGCGAGUGGCGAACGGGUGAGUAACGCGUGAGGAACCUGCCUCAAAGAGGGGGACAACAGUUGGAAACGACUGCUAAUACCGCAUAAGCCCACGGGUCGGCAUCGACCAGAGGGAAAAGGAGCAAUCCGCUUUGAGAUGGCCUCGCGUCCGAUUAGCUAGUUGGUGAGGUAACGGCCCACCAAGGCGACGAUCGGUAGCCGGACUGAGAGGUUGAACGGCCACAUUGGGACUGAGACACGGCCCAGACUCCUACGGGAGGCAGCAGUGGGGAAUAUUGCACAAUGGGGGAAACCCUGAUGCAGCGACGCCGCGUGGAGGAAGAAGGUCUUCGGAUUGUAAACUCCUGUUGUUGGGGAAGAUAAUGACGGUACCCAACAAGGAAGUGACGGCUAACUACGUGCCAGCAGCCGCGGUAAAACGUAGGUCACAAGCGUUGUCCGGAAUUACUGGGUGUAAAGGGAGCGCAGGCGGGAAGACAAGUUGGAAGUGAAAUCUAUGGGCUCAACCCAUAAACUGCUUUCAAAACUGUUUUUCUUGAGUAGUGCAGAGGUAGGCGGAAUUCCCGGUGUAGCGGUGGAAUGCGUAGAUAUCGGGAGGAACACCAGUGGCGAAGGCGGCCUACUGGGCACCAACUGACGCUGAGGCUCGAAAGUUGUGAAGCAAACAGGAUUGGAUACCCUGGUAGUCCACACCGUAAACGAAGAAUUACUAAGUGUUGGAAUUUCCGGUGGGGAAGGUUAACACAUUAAGUAUUCCACCUGAGUAGUACGGUCGCAAGGCUGAAACUCAAAGGAAAUGACGGGCACCCGCACAAGCGGUGGAGCAUGCUGUUUAAUUCGAAGAUACGCGAAGAACCUUACCUGGGCUUGACAUCCCAAUGAAAGUUUUUGGAAACAUUAACCCUUCCCUUCGGGGAACAUUGGUGACAGGUGGUGCAUGGUUGUCGUCAGCUCGUGUCGUGAGAUGUUCGGUUAAGUCCGAUAACGAGCGCAACCCUUAUCCUUAAUUGCUAACAUUCAGUUGAGAACCUUAAGGAUACUGCCGGUGACAAACCGGAGGAAGGUGGGGAUGACGUCAAAUCAUCAUGCCCCUUACGUCCAGGGCUACAGGCGUGCUACAAUGGCUGGUAUAAUAAGAUGCAAUAUCGUGAGAUGGAGCAAAUCUCUAAAGCCAGUCCCAGUCCGGAUUGGAGUCUGCAACUCGACUCCAUGAAGUUGGAAUCGCUAGUAAUCCCGAAUCAGAAUGUCGGGGUGAAUACGUUCCCGGGUGUUGCACUCAGCGCCCGUC